rnacentral:rRNA from 1 species
UACGGAGGGGGCAAGCGUUGUUCGGAAUUACUGGGCGUAAAGGGCGCGCAGGCGGCUGCUCAAGUCAGGCGUGAAAGGCCUGGGCUCAACCCGGGAAUUGCGCUUGAGACUGGGCUGGCUUGAGUGCGGGAGAGGAUGGUGGAAUUCCCAGUGUAGAAGUGAAAUUCGUAGAUAUUGGGAAGAACACCGGUGGCGAAGGCGGCCAUCUGGACCGCAACUGACGCUGAGGCGCGAAAGCGUGGGGAGCAAACAGG